UACGAAGGGGGCUAGCGUUGUUCGGAUUUACUGGGCGUAAAGCGCACGUAGGCGGUUUGUUAAGUCAGAGGUGAAAUCCCGGAGCUCAACUCCGGAACUGCCUUUGAUACUGGCAAGCUAGAGUCCGGAAGAGGUAAGUGGAACUGCGAGUGUAGAGGUGAAAUUCGUAGAUAUUCGCAAGAACACCAGUGGCGAAGGCGGCUCACUGGUCCGGUACUGACGCUGAGGUGCGAAAGCGUGGGGAGCAAACAGG
rnacentral:rRNA from 1 species